rnacentral:rRNA from 1 species
UACGUAGGUGGCAAGCGUUGUCCGGAAUUAUUGGGCGUAAAGCGCGCGCAGGCGGUCCUUUAAGUCUGAUGUGAAAGCCCACGGCUCAACCGUGGAGGGUCAUUGGAAACUGGGGGACUUGAGUACAGAAGAGAAGAGUGGAAUUCCACGUGUAGCGGUGAAAUGCGUAGAGAUGUGGAGGAACACCAGUGGCGAAGGCGACUCUUUGGUCUGUAACUGACGCUGAAGCGCGAAAGCGUGGGGAGCAAACAGG